rfam:Trichobilharzia regenti genome assembly, scaffold: TRE_scaffold0034717
AUCCAGCUGACGAGUCCCAAAUGGGACGAAAUGCGAAUCCUGGAU